GCGACCUGAGGAAGUCGUAUACACAGUGUGGCAGACACCACUUCUGAAAUUCACGUCCCCUCCCACCUCCGGAUUUAUUCCCCCACCCCGUGCACGCAGGGACGGACACGCCCCCACUCCUGGGCGGCCUCUAAGAGAGGUUCUAUUUCCCACCAGCCAUAGCAAAGGUCAGGACCUGUGCACUUAAGGAAGAGCUUCCCCUACCGGAAAAAGGAUUUCCCAGGAUGUCUCAAGUAGGCAGGCUGUGACUAAGGGAGAGGCCGAUUAGCCUCACUAUGACGUCUCUCCUGAGGUUGGAACUGAAUCCCUUGUCUUACAGUUGAAGAAACUGAAGUUCAUGGAGGAUGAAACAAUUUGCCCAAGCUGAGCUCUUAACCAAUGCAUUCCAUUGGUCAGGGACUAU